GGGUACACAUUGUAAAUAAAUAAAACGGAAAUUACAAGAAUAAUACCCGAUAGGAGCGAACGUGCAAAAAGUGAGAUAUUUUGAGCGACUUAAAAGCAGAGGAGGCUUGCUGCAGCGGAGCCCUGGGAACAGCUACCUAAGAAAAAUUUGUAGCUGUAUUAGGUAAAGUAAGAAGUUUUUAUUUGUAUAUAUUUUUAUGUGGGAAAUUCAAUAGUACACGUAGUGUGUAUGUUUUUUAUUAUCAAUAAACAUACGUAGAGUAGAACAUCAACUCAUUUUGAACUACUAUAGCAAUGUAGUUACCGUCACAGUCAACUGUAAAACUUUCAAAGUAGGCUUAGGUAGUCAACUUUGUGAAUAGGUCUUUAGACUUCGUAUAUUUAUAUAUUUGUAUAUUUACUGUAAAAAUAUAAUAUUUGUACAUUUAUUUUCACUCUGUUUGGUUUAAAAAGUGUUUGAUUUUUUUGAAUAGGAGUAUCAUGUCGGUGAGUGAAAGAGGUGAGUCUCGGCGAGGAGAGUGGAAGAGGGGAGUGUCGAUGAGGGUAGGUACCACGGAGGGGAGGGGAGCUGCCGCCGCAGGCCCGGGAGGAGAGGGACGUGGUCGGGUGGAGAAACGAAUACGGGAGGGGGAGGGGCCGGAAGCUGUUCGUGGGGUCGCGAGCGCUGCGUUCCGUGUCUUCGCGUCAGACAGAGCCGGCGGCGGCGGCAGCAGAGCAGCGGCGAGCCUUUGUGGCUACGGGUACUUCUGUUGUUCCUGAUGCUCCCGAGGAAGCCGGGGCUCUAGCAGACGGAGGUGAGGGUCCUCCGCCAGCGGGCCGUCCCAGGCGUGCGUCCAGCUGCGGUAGGUGGUGACGAAGAGCACUGCGGUACGGCUGGUGCGGAGGUCGCAGGAGCGUCUCGAGCGUUUUUACCAUUAGGGACUUGGGGUGUGCCCGGUAUGACUAUACACGGGAAGGCGUGGACAAGUCCACAGCAAACACAUAAACCACCUUGGAACCUGUUAGGAGUACAAGUUACCGGUACACACCAUUACAGUGAAGAGGCUUUCUACAAACACUUGACUUUUGACUUUAAAGUGAUACUGACCCUACAUGUUUCGGCAAUCCCUGGGGAUCUCAAUACGUUGACAAUCUUGGUUUCUCUACUCAGACCUACUCGUAACGAUAAAAGUAUAGGAUAACCACGAACUCUGACGAAAAUAGAUAAGGUUUCGAGGGGGAAUUAGUGUGAAGAAGUCAAUACAAGAACCAGUAUAUUAAAGAACAACAAUGUUGGCAAUAGAUCAACAUAAAAAAGACCUACGAUAAGAAAGUAGUAUCCGGAAAAUAAGACAUCCAUUUAAUCUCCAAAUAAUUUAAUAAUAAAGUUAUUAAAUACCCAAUUGAAGAGGAACUCGACCGAGAACAGAGGUGUACGGAAAACGAGGGAAUUGGAGGAGGAAGGAUACUUUAGAAACAUUCUUCCAUGUAAAGUCAUGUUUUCAUUUGUCCAUAUAAAAUCAUAUUCUUUUGACUCAUAAAAGUGUUUCAUAGUCAUCUUUAAUUUAUAAUCGUACUGUUCUAUAAAAUCAUGGAAGACACUUCUUUAUCACGUUCACUUUAGUCAGUCCCUCAUGAUGGACUUGUUAUAGUAGUGUUGAACUGUUCAUACUUUGGCUUGGAAAUCAAAGUGGUCCACCGAUAGGAACAGUAGAGGUCUAACUUCGGAGAGUAGAAUCGGAGAAGAGGUUCGUACGUGGCUUCUGACAUCUUUCUCAAAGCCAUUAAAGGACCAUGGUGUACUAAUACACACCUACACAGAAGGUCAAGUCUAAGACGAAACGUCGAUCCAUUAGGUUCGUUUAUAUACAAUCUAAAAGAGAUGAUAGACUAUUAUAGACUAGUACAACAGUGUUUCAAACCUCUAUCAUAGUUUUAUUUUUCUUUCCUUUUACGUACUUCUUGUUUCCUAUAAUAAGCUAACUUAGUCACAACAUUCUAAUUUCUACAUACGACAGCCCUUUCUAUCAGAAAAUACAUAGACUAGAACAACCUGACAAACCUCUAAAGUGUAACACAGUGGUUUCACUUUACUAAAGAAUUCAGUUUAUUUCAAAAGAAGAGGUACAACACCAGUUCGAUAUUGACCACGAAGAAUACGACUAGACAUUUUUUGUAACAAAAACUUCCUACCCAGAUGUACCUCCUACUUGUUCAAGUGUCUGAAGAGUGGUAAGAACUACGGCGUGGGUACACUAAGUGUAGAGACCCUUGCGGUAGAGAAGGUAGCACACGAAACAUACAAUGAUGAACGGACUCGUGGACAAAAGGUGAAAGAAUAGUUAAGAUAUUUAAGAAACACGUUUCCCAACCAAUCACCUUAAAUGGACCUUGAAUACUAACUGCAGAAAGGACCCGUCUCAAGGACCUGUGGCCUCAGAGGGGGACCUGGAUUGAAGGCGGUUACCGGUUGAUGAACUGUGGACUUGUUUCCCUAUUUUCAGUCUCCGUACCCCUACUACUACAGUACCUACAUUCGAGAAAGGUACAAACAAUGUUAUUACGAAGAGUCGUCAGAACCACAGGUUAUUAAACUUAACAGUAGAUUACGUAACGAACGAUGUCCAAACCUUUUACCAUUGCUGCUCUCAAGAAGUACGUCAUUCUUUGGUCAUUCUUGACUUGAAUCAAAACAUGGUAACGCCAAACGUUUCGAAACCUCCGUUGAAUUACAAAUUCGAGAGAUUAAACAGUAAGAGUGUAUACUUUAACACGGCAAUAGAUCAACAUAAAAAAGACCUACGAUAAGAAAGUAGUAUCCGGAAAAUAAGACAUUCCAUUUAAUCUCCAAAUAAUUUAAUAAUAAAUUCAUUAAAUACCCAAUUGAAGAGGAACUCGACCGAGCACAGAGGUGUACGGAAAAAGAGGGAAUUGGAGGAGGAAGGAUACUUUAUAAACAUUCUUCCAUGUAAAGUCAUGUUUUCAUUUGUCCAUAUAAAAUCAUAUUCUUUUGACUCAUAAAAGUGUUUCAUAGUCAUCUUUAAUUUAUAAUCAUACUGUUCUAUAGAAUCAUGGAAGACACUUCUUUAUCAUGUUCACUUUAGUCAGUCCCUCAUGAUGGACUUGUUAUAGUAGUGUUGAAGUGUUCAUACUUUGGCUUGGAAAUCAACGUGGUCCACUGAUAGGAACAGUAGAGGUCUAACUUCGGAGAGUAGAAUCGGAGAAGAGGUUCGUACGUGGCUUCU
rnacentral:rRNA from 1 species